GAAACAUACUUCAAUUUUUGUAAUUUUUCGUUUAUUACUAUGAUCCAUAUAGAAGCUGUGGUAAGUUUAAGCUAUUAAACUACAACCAGCGUUCGUUGCAAAGGUUCUGCAGCACACAUUAUCUUAAAAAUAGAAAGAGAGUGUGGUCAGUUUUCGGUUGCAUUGACAACCAAAUAAACGUACAAAAAUGUUUGGUUAAUGUUUGUGAUGUUACUCUGAGUGUAUAUCCACACCGGGCAAGUAUCGAACCGACCUGACUGCGUAGCUCAGUUGGCAGACCAUUGGGCUAGUAUUCCAAAGGUCGCAGGUUCGAUUCCGUGGCCAGGCAUAUUUUUCAAGCUUGCCCGGUGUGGAUAUGCAUUCGGAGUAACAUCACAAACAUCAUAUUCACCUGAGUACAUAAUGGUGAACACAGAAAAAAUCAUGUUUGGUUAGGUAAGUUCACUUGCCAAUCGUGUGACGUCAUAACUCAAAACACAAAAAAGUGCCACAACUUGGAAAUGAAGUGAGAUGUGAACUGAAUUGUAAACGCUAUUCGAACUAUUUUGCAACCUCGAGGUUGACUAUUUUGAACAAACGUUCAAGUGAUAAUUAAGCAAUAUGAGCUCUAUAUAUAAUCUGGAGCAAGAACUCCGGUCAUUCGGCCCAUGAGAAAAGUGAAGCCAAUAUAAUUUUUCUCAGCUUUUUCUAACGGACCGUAUUGGUAAACAAGUUAUCAGUUCAUAAAACCAUAGUGUUAUUCUUUAAAUCGUUGUUUGGCUUGAAAUACGAAAUUUCCGCACACUCGAUCCUUGCUGACUUCGUGUUAACCGCGCAGAUAAAAGCAGUAUAUAAGGACUGGAACUGACGUCGAAUAGCUCUUCAAUUUUCCACGAGAAUGAGUUGCCAGUUGGCCCUUCUUACGCGCGGUCAACGGAGCGCGACGAGGGGCUCUGGCCAAAUCCAUAACCGGAUACCAUAAAAACAUGGUAAGAAAACAAUAUCCGGUGUUAGAACUAGCCAAUCAGAUGCCAGUUCGGAUAUGGAUUUGGCCAGAGCCCCUCGUCGCACCGCGCGUAAGAAGGGCUCUGGACUCUGGGUACGAGAAUGAGUUGGACAUCGAAUAGUGAUUUAAUUAAAAGUGUGGAUUUAUGAAUAUUGAUCUGCAGGGUCGCAGGUUUGACCCCUGCUGGAGGGUCUGGCUUGGUCUGAAUGAUGAUUCCAGCUAUAUUGACUAAAUUUUGAUCAAGGCAAGAAGAGCAAAAUCCAUUAGGGGCUGAC